GGCCUUCAUGCACGCCCGUUGUCGUCCCGGCCUGGUCGCGUGACCCAGUGACUUGUAACCUAGCAGCGUUCCGUGCCGUGGUUGGUGGAAUGUACACGCACGUGACUGAAUGGGCGGAUGGACAGGGCGAGCUGACCUAUAUCUUAACUUUAGCGUGUAGGUGCGGCUUUAAGAAGCGAGUGAUUGAGGGGAUUGUAAGAGCGGUGGGAAGUGUUCUGAUAAAUACUGCCGGUGCCACCGAUAGACGUGAUUCCCGGACGACAGGACCGGCUCCUCUUGCACAGGUCGCGUGUUGCCCCUCUACGGAUGGAGUGCUGGCUGCGGCAAUCAAGCGUGGUGCUGCAGGGAUGGUGAGGGGGCGGGGGG
rnacentral:lncRNA from 1 species